UACGUAGGGGGCAAGCGUUGUCCGGAAUCAUUGGGCGUAAAGCGCGUGUAGGCGGCCCGAUAAGUCCGCUGUGAAAGUCCAGGGCUCAACCCUGGGAUGCCGGUGGAUACUGUCGGGCUCGAGUCCGGAAGAGGCGAGUGGAAUUCCUGGUGUAGCGGUGAAAUGCGCAGAUACCAGGAGGAACACCAAUGGCGAAGGCAGCUCGCUGGGACGUGACUGACGCUGAGACGCGAAAGCGUGGGGAGCAAACAGG
rnacentral:rRNA from 1 species